UACGUAGGGGGCAAGCGUUGUCCGGAAUCAUUGGGCGUAAAGAGCGCGUAGGCGGUCCGGUAAGUCCGCUGUGAAAGUCAAGGGCUCAACCCUUGAAUGCCGGUGGAUACUGUCGGGCUAGAGUCCGGAAGAGGCGAGUGGAAUUCCUGGUGUAGCGGUGAAAUGCGCAGAUAUCAGGAGGAACACCGGUGGCGAAGGCGGGUCUCUGGGCCGAUAUUGACGCUGAGGAGCGAAAGCGUGGGGAGCAAACAGG
rnacentral:rRNA from 1 species